rnacentral:rRNA from 1 species
GAUGUGAGUUUGGCCCCUUGUUCAUUGGUACGGGGGGUCUAAGAGCUGCGUGGGCUUUUGUUGGUACCUAAAUACGGCAAGAGGUGGACGAACUAUGCUACAACAAAAAUGUUGUGCGAAUGCCCCGGGUUGUCGUAUAGAUGGGCCAGCAUAAUCUAAAGACCCUUUUG